GACGAACGCUGGCGGCGUGCUUAACACAUGCAAGUCGAACGGAAAGGCCCUGCUUUUGUGGGGUGCUCGAGUGGCGAACGGGUGAGUAACACGUGAGUAACCUGCCCUUGACUUUGGGAUAACUUCAGGAAACUGGGGCUAAUACCGGAUAGGAGCUCUUGCUGCAUGGUGGGGGUUGGAAAGUUUCGGCGGUUGGGGAUGGACUCGCGGCUUAUCAGCUUGUUGGUGGGGUAGUGGCUUACCAAGGCUUUGACGGGUAGCCGGCCUGAGAGGGUGACCGGCCACAUUGGGACUGAGAUACGGCCCAGACCCCUACGGGAGGCAGCAGUGGGGAAUAUUGCACAAUGGGCGGAAGCCUGAUGCAGCAACGCCGCGUGCGGGAUGACGGCCUUCGGGUUGUAAACCGCUUUCGCCUGUGACGAAGCGUGAGUGACGGUAAUGGGUAAAGAAGCACCGGCUAACUACGUG
rnacentral:rRNA from 1 species